rnacentral:lncRNA from 1 species
UGGUCUCAGUGCCUCACCCCCAGAUCUGCAUCGGAAUGUAGAAAAGAUCCUUUUUUUUUUUUUUUAAAGAAAAAAAGUUUUGAAUUCCUCAAUGAUUUUUCUUCUGGAAAGGCAGCUUAGGAUAAUUAUUUCAGCUUUAUUGAGGGCAGAUUAGUUGAAGUCUGGACGCUGCGUUUUCAAUACACGUUGUACACGGGCCGACAAUGUGG